AGAGUACAUAGGUGGUGUCAGACCUGAGGCUCCGCAAGGCUGAGCCCAAGCCUGAGCACUGCCAUGAAUGUAGUAGGUACCCAACCUUUCCAACAGGAAGUUAGCACCUGAACAGGCUAAAUGUACAUGGAAAUUUCAGCUUGAGUUCUGGUCCGUUUAUAUGAAACCAUUUUUCAUAUGUAAGGGAAAUAGGUCAGAUGGCUUUUGAGCUGCUGGCCACGCAAACUCCCUGUCCCAGCUGUGUGAAAGGGGCCCCAGACACUGGGGAGGAUUCCUUUGGCAUAGGGCACCAUUCCCCAUAGAACUUUCAUGCUUUAGCAAAGCAAGGUCAGGAGAAGGGGAGAGGGAGGGAUUGGGCAUGACUCAAGACAACUGUUCCUGCUACAGUCGUACAGUGCAAGAUUACCACGGCAAAAAGGAUUUGUGAAAAAAUCCCCAGAUUUGUAGCUGCAGCUGGUCCUGGAAACAAGUCAUGAGCUGCAUCCACACUGUUGGGCAGCUGAGGGAUGGAGCCAGGCAGACUGCUGGGGUUUUAAACCUCCACAGUGGCACCCCGCUGGGUGACUGCUGCAAUCACAGUUGGAGCCAUGGUAGAGACUUUGGUAAGCUCUGCAUUAUCCUUGUCUUUUUAAGAACAAAAGCAACUAAACACAAAGCACCAGUUCCUUAAGUUCUAAUAAACACACAAUAGUCUCCCAUAUACCAGAUGAGUACUACAGCUAAUAAAAAUUUAAAUGUUUAUAAACAUAUAAAAACCCCAGCAAGUUACUGACCUCAGCUUUUGAAGAUCCUUUAAAUGUGCCAAAAGUAUCCACUACAUAGCUCAUGAACAAUUGAAACUGCUUCUGACUCAACCCUGCCUCGAGGUGGAAAACUGCUUGAAGCAAGGCAGGAAGGAGGCUUUUGAAAUUCAUUGCCAAUUCCCUACCAAGAAGACCUUCAGGAUAGGACAGGUACUGGGAAUCAUUUAUGAAACCAGAGGUGAGAGGACCUUGAGGCGCUGAAGACUGCAAUUUAUUACCACCUGUGGAGUUCCACAGAGAUGAAGUGGAUCCUACCCUACAGCUCUACAUGGACGAACCAAACGCAAAGCACCAGGGAAAGUGUUCAGAGAAAGCAAUUUCGGGGACGGGGAAUUUUAUAUCCAUCACACUCCAGAGGAUAAAAAAAAAAAAAAAGAGACAUAAAACUCCUGCAAGUUUAUUACUAGAGGUUUUAUCGGCUGCCCUCUAGUGAGACCAUUAAGUGACACACUCCUUAACCCUGGCAUAGCAGCUCCCUGCGCAGGAGUCAGGAUGCUGUGUUUAACCUCUUCAGUUUGGUCUAUAGUAUUUAAAUCCUUGCUCCUGAGCGGCAGUGAUUCAGCACUGGAAACAUGUGGGGGUAGGAAAGAAAAGCUGUGAGGGAGAAUUAUCCUGGGAAUUUAUCAUCAUCGUCAUGAUGGCAACUAAAGGGUGAAUGUCUCAUUAAAAAAAGGGGCAACA